GAUGAAGAACGUAGCGAAAUGCGAUAAGUAGUGUGAAUUGCAGAAUUCAGUGAAUCAUCGAAUCUUUGAACACACAUUGCGCCCCUUGGUAUUCCAUGGGGCAUGCCUGUUCGAGCGUCAUUUGUACCUUCAAGCUUUGCUUGGUGUUGGGUGUUUGUCCAUUCUCUUGCAGAGGGACUCGCCUUAAAGUAAUUGGCAGCCAGUGUUUUGGUUUUGAAGCGCAGCACAAGUCGCGAUUCAAAGCUAUACGCCCGCUUCCACAAGCCUUUUUCACUUUUGACCUCGGAUCAGGUAGGGAUACCCGCUGAACUUAAGCAUAUCAAUAAGCGGAGGA
rnacentral:misc_RNA from 1 species